AUUGAACGCUGGCGGCAGGCCUAACACAUGCAAGUCGAGCGAGUGGCGCACGGGUGAGUAAUGUAUGGGGAUCUGCCUGAUGGCGGGGGAUAACUACUGGAAACGGUAGCUAAUACCGCAUACCAGAAGAUAAACCCAUAUGGGAUUAGCGAGUAGGUGAGGUAAAGGCGUACCUAGGCGACGCUCCCUAGCUGGUCUGAGAGGAUGAACAGCCACACUGGGACUGAGACACGGCCCAGACUCCUACGGGAGGCAGCAGUGGGGAAUAUUGCACAAUGGGCGCAAGCCUGAUGCAGCCAUGCCGCGUGUAUGAAGAAGGCCUUCGGGUUGUAAAGUACUUUCAGUCGGGAGGCGUUACCGACAGAAGAAGCACCGGCUAACUCCGUGCCAGCAGCCGCGGUAAUAC
rnacentral:rRNA from 1 species